rnacentral:rRNA from 1 species
UGGGGAAUAUUGCACAAUGGGCGCAAGCCUGAUGCAGCCAUGCCGCGUGUAUGAAGAAGGCCUUCGGUUUGUAAAGUACUUUCAGCGGGGAGGAAGGGAGUAAAGUUAAUACCUUUGCUCAUUGACGUUACCCGCAGAAGAAGCACCGGCUAACUCCGUGCCAGCAGCCGCGGUAAUACGGAGGGUGCAAGCGUUAAUCGGAAUUACUGGGCGUAAAGCGCACGCAGGCGGUUUGUUAAGUCAGAUGUGAAAUCCCCGGGCUCAACCUGGGAACGGCAUCUGAUACUGGCAAGCUUGGGGCACGUAGAGGGGGGUAGAAUUCCAGGUGUAGCGGUGAAAUGCGUAGAGAUCUGGAGGAAUACCGGUGGCGAAGGCGGCCCCCUGGACGAAGACUGACGCUCAGGUGCGAAAGCGUGGGGAGCAAACAGG